rnacentral:rRNA from 1 species
AACGAACGCUGGCGGCGCGCCUAACACAUGCAAGUCGAGCGUGAAAGGGAGCAAUCCUGAGUAAAGCGGCGCACGGGUGAGAAACGCGUAGGUGACCUACCCCUGUGACUGGGAUAACCAGCCGAAAGGUUGGCUAAUACUAGAUAGAGCGCAUUGAUUAUAAGAAUUGAUGCGGAAAAAGGUGGCCGUAAGGCUACUGCACCGGGAUGGGCCUGCGUCCCAUCAGCUAGUUGGUAGGGUAAUGGCUUACCAAGGCAAUGACGGGUAGCUGGUCUGAGAGGACGAUCAGCCACACUGGAACUGAAACACGGUCCAGACUCCUACGGGAGGCAGCAGUGGGGAAUCUUGCGCAAUGGACGAAAGUCUGACGCAGCGACGCCGCGUGGGUGAAGAAGGCCUUCGGGUUGUAAAGCCCUGUCGAGUGGGAAAAAUGGUUUAGGUUUGAAUAAGGCCUAGACGUGAUUGUACCACUAAAGGAAGCACCGGCUAACUCUGUGCCAGCCGCCGCGGUAAGAC